rnacentral:misc_RNA from 1 species
GCUUCCAAGUAUGAAUAAAGAAGGAAAUAGUAUUAUGCAAACUCUCAUAUUGAGUUAUAAUCAUUUACCUUCUCAUUUGAAGUGUUGCUUUGCUUAUUGUAGAUUAUUUCCAAAAGAUUAUAAAAUUAAAAUCCCAUAUUUGGUGAGACUUUGGAUAGCACAAGGAUUUAUUAAAUCGUCAAAUUCAGAACAAAGUCUUCAAGAUAUAGGUUUAGAAUAUUUCAAGGAUCUUUUAUGGAGGUCCUUCUUUCAAGAAGUAGAA